GAAAGAGCUCCGGGAUAGGGGCUGGCAGGCCGGCACCAAGGGAGCAAGAGCAGAGCGCACGCCCAAGAGGACAACCCUGUGGACAGGACCCUGCGGAGAUGGGCGAAUCAGGGUUCACGAGUGAGAGGAAAAUGAAUUUGGGACCGUGAGUGUCUGGAAGGAAGAUUUCUUAAAAUGGUUACCUCUCCUCUGGAUACUGACAACCACCUGGCGGAAUUCUUAUUCCCUUCCCCAGUGCACAGCCUUCCCAAGUUCGCCGCGCUCCCGUGGCGCUCUGGGUUAGGAUACGUCCAUAGAACUCUCCAAGGAAACGGUUCGGCGAUCAAGGUCCCUGGCCACCCUUAGCUGGUCCUGUCUCUUUUCACACCCAGGACUGCCCUUGGCGACUUCCAGUGCAACCUCGGAUCCUAGAGCAGAGCUACCGAGGCUCAGUGCUGAAGCACCUGCUGCCCAGAUGUCUCCACCUCUGUGUCCCACAUGCUCUAUGCUUGGUUCCCAGAUCUGAACUCAGCACCACGGGCCUUGCUUAACUCAUGCUGAGUGGAGACGGACUGGAGUAACCGUCCUGUCCUGAUUUCCACGACUUGGAUGGAGAGGCUUUGUGGGGGUUCAGGAGGCAGCUCAAACAGCAGGCUAGGCAUCACCAUUCAGAGGGUCUGUAAAGCAGGGAAGUCGGUGUGGCCAGCUAACUCAGAGGUCGCCCCCUGGUGUCCACUCCCUGCAUAACCCAUCAGAGUGAAGGCAAAGAAAGGCGUGUCUCGCCAUGGUUGUAGGAGCCAUGGUCCACUCUAAGCUCCCUUUAUGGUAAAAGUAAAUAUGAUUAAACCCU